rnacentral:rRNA from 1 species
GACGAACGCUGGCGGCGUGCUUAACACAUGCAAGUCGAACGGAAAGGCCCUGCUUUUGGGGGGUGCUCGAGUGGCGAACGGGUGAGUAACACGUGAGUAACCUGCCCUUGACUUUGGGAUAACUUCAGGAAACUGGGGCUAAUACCGGAUAGGAGCUCCUGCUGCAUGGUGGGGGUUGGAAAGUUUCGGCGGUUGGGGAUGGACUCGCGGCUUAUCAGCUUGUUGGUGGGGUAGUGGCUUACCAAGGCUUUGACGGGUAGCCGGCCUGAGAGGGUGACCGGCCACAUUGGGACUGAGAUACGGCCCAGACUCCUACGGGAGGCAGCAGUGGGGAAUAUUGCACAAUGGGCGGAAGCCUGAUGCAGCAACGCCGCGUGCGUGAUGACGGCCUUCGGGUUGUAAACCGCUUUCGCCUGUGACGAAGCGUGAGUGACGGUAAUGAGUAAAGAAGCACCGGCUAACUACGUG